GACGAACGCUGGCGGCGUGCUUAACACAUGCAAGUCGAACGGAAAGGCCCUGCUUUUGUGGGGUGCUCGAGUGGCGAACGGGUGAGUAACACGUGAGUAACCUGCCCUGGACUUUGGGAUAACGUCAGGAAACUGGGGCUAAUACCGGAUAGGUGCUCCUGCUGCAUGGUGGGGGUUGGAAAGUUUCGGCGGUUGGGGAUGGACUCGCGGCUUAUCAGCUUGUUGGUGGGGUAGUGGCUUACCAAGUCUUUGACGGGUAGCCGGCCUGAGAGGGUGACCGGCCACAUUGGGACUGAGAUACGGCCCAGACUCCUACGGGAGGCAGCAGUAGGGAAGAUUGCACAAUGGGCGGAAGCCUGAUGCAGCAACGCCGCGUGCGGGAUGACGGCCUUCGGGUUGUAAACCGCUUUCGCCUGUGACGAAGCGUGAGUGACGGUAAUGGGUAAAGAAGCACCGGCUAACUACGUG
rnacentral:rRNA from 1 species